rnacentral:rRNA from 1 species
CCUACGGGAGGCAGCAGUGGGGAAUAUUGCACAAUGGGCGAAAGCCUGAUGCAGCGAUGCCGCGUGUGGGAUGAAGGCCUUCGGAUUGUAAACCACUGUCAGCAGGGAAGAACGGUCACUGUGUUAAUCAGCUGUGAGUUGACGGUACCUGCAAAGGAAGCACCGGCUAACUCCGUGCCAGCAGCCGCGGUAAUACGGAGGGUGCGAGCGUUAAUCGGAAUUACUGGGCGUAAAGCGCUCGUAGGCGGUAUGUCAAGUCAAGGGUGAAAUCCCCGGGCUUAACGUGGGAACUGCAUUUGAGACUGGCAAACUAGAGUGUGUGAGAGGAGAGUGGAAUUCCAGGUGUAGGAGUGAAAUCCGUAGAUAUCUGGAGGAACAUCAGUGGCGAAGGCGACUAUCUGGCACAUAACUGACGCUGAGGAGCGAAAGCGUGGGUAGCAAACAGGAUUAGAUACCCGAGUAGUC